GGAAUAUUGGACAAUGGGCGAAAGCCUGAUCCAGCAAUGCCGCGUGAGUGAUGAAGGCCUUAGGGUUGUAAAGCUCUUUCGCACGCGACGAUGAUGACGGUAGCGUGAGAAGAAGCCCCGGCUAACUUCGUGCCAGCAGCCGCGGUAAUACGAAGGGGGCUAGCGUUGUUCGGAAUUACUGGGCGUAAAGGGCGCGUAGGCGGUUUAUCAAGUCAGGCGUGAAAGCCCCGGGCUCAACCUGGGAAUUGCGUUUGAUACUGGUAGACUUGAGUUCGGGAGAGGUGAGUGCAAUUCCCAGUGUAGAGGUGAAAUUCGUAGAUAUUGGGAAGAACACCGGUGGCGAAGGCGGCUCACUGGACCGAUACUGACGCUGAGGCGCGAAAGCGUGGGGAGCAAACA
rnacentral:rRNA from 1 species